rnacentral:rRNA from 1 species
GCAGGUUGAAGCGCGGGUAAGACCGCGUGGAGGACCGAACCCACCUGGGUUGAAAACCGGGGGGAUGACUUGGGGCUAGGGGUGAAAGGCCAAUCAAAUUCCGUGAUAGCUGGUUCUCUCCGAAAUGCAUUUAGGUGCAGCGUCGGAUCGAUUACAUCCGGGGGGUAGAGCGACUGGAUGCUUGCGGGCCCAUAUCGGGUACCAACAGCAACCAAACUCCGAAUACCCGUGAUGCGUAUCCCGGCAGUGAGUCGGCGGGGGAUAAGCUCCGUCGUCGAAAGGGAAACAGCCCAGAUCGUCGUCUAAGGUCCCCAAGCGUGUGCUAAGUGGGAAAGGAUGUGGAGUCGCAUAGACAGCCAGGAGGUUGGCUCAGAAGCAGCCACCCUUGAAAGAGUGCGUAACAGCUCACUGGUCUAGUGGUUCCGCGCCGACAAUGUAGCGGGGCUCAAGCACACCACCGAAGACGCGGCAGUAGCUUUGCUACUGGGUAGGAGAGCGUCCCAUGCGGGGCGAAGCGGCGGCGCAAGCCCGCCGUGGACCGCAUGGGAGUGAGAAUGCAGACAUGAGUAGCGAAAGACGGGUGAAGAUCCCGUCCGCUGGACGACCAAGGGUUCCAGGGCCACGUUCAUCGUCCCUGGGUGAGUCGGGUCCUAAGGCGAGGCCGACAGGCGUAGUCGAAUGGACGAACGGGUCGAUAUUCCCGUACCGGCAUGCAACCGGCAAAACCGAAUCCGCGAGUACUAACCUCCGGGUCCGGGCUUACGUCUCCUUCGGGAGCCGGAUGCCCUGGCCUGUUGGGACCGUAACGGUAGUAGGUCAGCGCGGGAGUGACGCAGAAGGGUAGCCGGCCGCGGAGGUGGUCUUCCGUGGUCAAGCACGCAGCCCGUCCCACAGGCAAAUCCGUGGGGCGCGUGGGCGAGGUGCGAUGAUGGGCGCCGCAGGGCGCGAUAUCCGGUGAUCCCGGCUGCCGAGAAAAGCUUCGGCGUGAGGCGGCGUGCCGCCCGUACCCCAAACCGACACUGGUGGUCAGGUAGAGAAUACCAAAGCGAUCGAGCGAAUCCUGGUCAAGGAACUCGGCAAAUCACUCCCGUUCCUUCGGUUUAAGGGAGACCCCCGAUGGUGAACACACUUGCUGUGGGAGCUUUUGGGGGUGGCACAGACCAGGGGGUAGCGACUGUUUACCAAAAACACAGGUGCAUGCGAAGGCGAAAGCCGCUGUAUAUGCACUGACGCCUGCCCGGUGCCGGAAGGUUAAGAGGAUCCGUCAACUCUUCGGAGCGAAGCGGUGAAUUCAAGCCCCGGUAAACGGCGGUGGUAACUAUAACCAUCCUAAGGUAGCGAAAUUCCUUGUCGGGUAAGUUCCGACCUGCACGAAUGGCGUA